rnacentral:tRNA from 1 species
GCCCGAGUGGCGAAAUGGCAGACGCAGCAGACUCAAAAUCUGCCGGAGCGCAAGUUCCGUGUCGGUUCGACUCCGACCUCGGGCACCA